rnacentral:rRNA from 1 species
GCCUGCCCAUUGGGAUCUAAAAGGCCGCGGUAUUAUGACCGUGCUAAGGUAGCAUAAUCAUUAGUCUUUUAAUUGAAGGCUGGUAUGAAUGGUUGGACAAGAAAUAAGCUGUCUUAAAUGAAAAUAUUGAAUUUAACUUUUAAGUGAAAAGGCUUAAAUUUUCUAAAGGGACGAUAAGACCCUAUAAAACUUUAUAUUUUAAAAUAAUAAUUAAUUUUAUAUAGGAGAUUUAUUUUUAAAUAUUUUAUUGGGGUGAUAAAGAUAAAAUAUAAGAUAACUGUCUUUUUUUUUUUUACAAAUAAUAUUUGAAUAGAGGAUCUUAAUAAAGGAAGUAAAAGAUUAAGUUACUUUAGGGAUAACAGCGUAAUUUUCUUUAAGAGUUCUUAUCGACAAGAAAGUUUGCGACCUCGAUGUUGAAUUAAAAGUUCUUUAUAGAGUAGAUACUAUAAUAGAGGGUCUGUUCGACCCUUAAAAUUUUACGUG